ACGCCCAAAUGCAUCAAUGGGUCAAAUGGUCCGAUACCGGUAAAACAAAUCUGCAACAGCGUUCAGUGAUGGUGAAAUGUUUACAGUUGGUGUUCAAGUUUAGAACUAGGUCCAAUAACUUCAAAAGCUGCGAAAUGUGUUGAAUAAUUGGAUACAAUCCAUACCUGACAUACAGCGUACAGAACGUCUUUUUUUACGAAUCAACCAAAACAUCGGUCAGUUCUUUGAAUGCGCAAGAUGGGCCAAAUUCGUUGAUGUCUUUAGCCUUAAUGAGUCCAGCCACAAAAAUGUUACAUAAUUUUGCUAAAAAAUGAGCAGGAAUGAUUGGAAACGUAUAGUAUAAUCCACACACUUUAUGAGUUCCCGAGUGGGCGCCGAUUGCAUCAUUCAAUUCUGCUUCGUCUGAGAAUAAAACGUAUGGAACAACAA